AUGAAGUCCAGCUACCCCAGGCGGUACCUUGCCUUCUUCUACUACAACACCAUGGCGUUCGGAGCCUCGCUCAUGGUGCUCAUACUGCUCCUGCUGAGGGAGCUGACCCACAAGGCGGCCUGGCUCCGCGCGCUCCAGUUCGCCAUGAUUCUUGGCUUACUGGGGCUCAUGGGGGCCUUCGCCGCUGGGAGCUGCAGGGAGGUGAGGACCUCUGCUUACAUCUGGGUGUUACUCCUUGGCAUCUUCGCCUAUGUCACACUCCAUGUGGUAUUCUUCAAGCAUUUGGCACCUAAAUGUCUGCGAGAUAUGUUCUCGGAUAUUCGUGCAUAUUGGAGGACAGCAGAUGAGCAAGGUGCACCAGGCCAGUUGGAAGAGAGGAUAACAGAUGGCCAAGAGGCUUCAAAUGCAGACAGGAUAACAGAUGGCCAAGAGGCUUCAAAUGCAGAGAGGAUAACAGAUGGCCAAGAGGCUUCAAAUCCAGAUGAGGCUUCAAAGAAGAGAGAAAAAAAGGAAGAUCUUGAAAGAAAUCACAGCUCCUUGCUGGUUCUUGCCACAUUGGUAGCAACACUGACAUAUGUGGCAGGGCUAACCCCUCCAGGUGGCUUCUGGUCUGAUGACAACAAGAACCACAUUCCUGGUGAUCCGGUGCUGCGAGACCACUAUCCACGCCGAUUCAAGGCCUUCUUCUAUUGCAAUGCCACUGCUUUUGCUGGAUCACUUGUCAUCAUCAUCAUGGUCCUCAGUCAAACAGCGGUGGACCAUGUUGUCAAGUCAAAUGCUCUGCGGUUGUGUGUGGUAGUCAGUCUAUUUGGGCUUAUGGGGGCAUAUGCUGCUGGAAGUUGCAGGGAGGUACAUACAUCUAUCUAUGUCUUUGCACUUGUUGGCACAGUCUUGCUCUACCUCAUCAUCCAGUGUAUUGAGCCUGCUCUGUCUAAGGUGGCAUGUAUUGCAAACACCAUCACUCGUGUGAAAAAGAGAAAUAAAGAAAUGGUUCAGCAGCUGAGGACUUUCAUCGCUGACUUGUUAAAACCUCCCAUACCAGUACAAGAUCAGUCAGGCAACAGCACUCCAGGCACUGAUGGUAAGGAUGAUUUCCAAAAGUUGCGCACAUACCUUCUAUUGCUUGGCAUCCUUGCUGCCACAGUCACCUUCCAAGCUGGGCUGAAUCCACCAGGAGGCUUUUGGACGGAUAACAGUGAUGGGCAUAUUGCUGGUGAUCCAAUUUUGGAGGCCAUCAGUCCCAAGCGCUACAAGGUAUUCUUCUAUUGCAAUGCCACAGCAUUUGUAGCCUCUUUGGCCAUCAUCAUCCUACUCCAGAGCCAGUUGAUUACCAUUCAUGCCAUGAAGCGUUAUGUACUGCAAACAGCAAUGACACUGGUGCUCUUUGGUCUUAUGGGAGCCUACGUAGCUGGAAGCAGCAGGAAGUUCUCAACAUCCAUUUAUGUGUUCGUCCUAGUCCUCCUAGUUUUCGCCUAUGUUGUACUUCAUAUUCUAUAUGAGGACACUAGGGAAUACUGGGAGCACAGCAGGGAAUACUGA
rnacentral:rRNA from 1 species